rnacentral:rRNA from 1 species
UACAGAGGGGGCAAGCGUUGUUCGGAAUUAAUGGGCGUAAAGGGCGAGUAGGUGGCCAUCUAAGUCAGACGUGAAAUCCCCCGGCUUAACCUGGGAACUGCGUCUGAUACUGGACGGCUAGAGUUUGGGAGAGGGAUGCAGAAUUCCAGGUGUAGCGGUGAAAUGCGUAGAUAUCUGGAGGAAUACCGGUGGCGAAGGCGGCAUCCUGGACCAACACUGACACUGAAUCGCGAAAGCUAGGGGAGCAAACGGG